CUACGGGGCGCACCAGUGAGGAAUAUUGCACAAUGGAGGCCCCUCUUCUUCCUCCCCGCCGCGUGGAGGAUGACGCAUUUCGGUGUGUAAACUCCUUUUAUAUGUCAAGAAAAUGACGGUAGCAUAUGAAUAAGCUCCGGCUAACUCCGUGCCAGCAGCCGCGGUAAUACGGAGGGAGCAAGCGUUACUCGGAAUCACUGGGCGUAAAGGACGCGUAGGCGGGAUAGAAAGUCAGGUGUGAAAUCCUAUGGCUCAACCAUAGAACUGCACUUGAAACUUCUAACCUAGAGUAUGGGAGGGGAAGAUGGAAUUAGUGGUGUAGGGGUAAAACCCGUAGAUAUCACUAGGAAUACCAAAAGCGAAGGCGAUCUUCUGGAACAAUACUGACGCUAAGGCGUGAAAGCGUGGGGAGCAAACAGGAUUAGAUACCCGCGUAGUC
rnacentral:rRNA from 1 species